UUCCUACGGGGCGCAGCAGUGAGGAAUAUUGGUCAAUGGGCUUACGCCUGAACCAGCAACGCCGCGUGAGGGAAGACGGUUUUCGGAUUGUAAACCUCUGUCCUCUGUGAAGAUGAUGACGGUAGCAGAGGAGGAAGCUCCGGCUAACUACGUGCCAGCAGCCGCGGUAAUACGUAGGGAGCAAGCGUUGUCCGGAUUUACUGGGUGUAAAGGGUGCGUAGGCGGCUUUGCAAGUCAGAAGUGAAAUCCAUGGGCUUAACCCAUGAACUGCUUUUGAAACCGCAGAGCUUGAGUGGAGUAGAGGU
rnacentral:rRNA from 1 species